rnacentral:tRNA from 2 species
UCCCCGGUAGCUCAAUUGGCAGAGCGUGUGCCUGUUAAGCACAGGGUUGCAGGUUCGAGUCCUGCCCGGGGAGCCA